GGCUCUGCUGUGCGUGCUAGAGCUGGCAUCAUGCAGGGGGCUGGAAGAAUGAAAUGUCAAACCAGGUAUGACGGCACAUGCCUGUUAUCCCCAGUACUCUGGAGGUGGAAGGAGGAGGAUCCCUGAGCUAUACAGCAAGCUCCUGUUCUUGGGCCCGCCUGACCACUUCUUCCUGUAGUUCAUCCAAUUCACUUCUAGAGGUGACCUCCCCAUCUGAGAUAGAAGCAAAGAAGAUCAAUUACCACCCCUCCAGAGUCAAGGAGAAUUGUCUGUUAACCUGAUGGUCACUAUGCCAUUUUCCCUUUGGAGCUCGUGCUUUCCGGUUUAGUUUCAGAUCCCUUUUCUUUAUUAUUUAUUAGACUCAGAGAGAGAGCAACACAGCCCACGAAUAAUGAUGAUGUUUACAACAUGUAUAUUUUCAAUACUUCAUGAAUGGUAACAGUAUAACUCCUAAUAUGUUUUAAGCAUUUUCAAUAUACUAAGAACAAUUUUAAAAACA
rnacentral:lncRNA from 1 species